AUUGAACGCUGGCGGCAUGCCUUACACAUGCAAGUCGAACGGCAGCACGGGAGCAAUCCUGGUGGCGAGUGGCGAACGGGUGAGUAAAGUAUCGGAACGUGCCCAGUCGUGGGGGAUAACGUAGCGAAAGUUACGCUAAUACCGCAUACGAUCUAUGGAUGAAAGCGGGGGAUCGCAAGACCUCGCGCGAUUGGAGCGGCCGAUAUCAGAUUAGGUAGUUGGUGGGGUAAAGGCUCACCAAGCCGACGAUCUGUAGCUGGUCUGAGAGGACGACCAGCCACACUGGGACUGAGACACGGCCCAGACUCCUACGGGAGGCAGCAGUGGGGAAUGUUGGACAAUGGGCGCAAGCCUGAUCCAGCCAUGCCGCGUGCAGGAUGAAGGCCUUCGGGUUGUAAACUGCUUUUGUACGGAACGAAAAGGUUUGACUUAAUACGUUGGACUCAUGACGGUACCGUAAGAAUAAGCACCGGCUAACUACGUGCCAGCAGCCGCGGUAAAAC
rnacentral:rRNA from 1 species